CUUUGCUUGACUCUAACCUCAACUAAUACUCCAAAUGGACAUGUGAGGCCUGGUUGGAACCUAUACACACACAACAUCACAACCAACCCAAAUUGGCAUUAAUAUAAUUCAAAAGCUCUUUCCUAAUCAAGUUCCACUAGUUAUACCUAACUAGCUUCCAAUUGCCAUUAAAUGGCUAGUUAUUCACACUACUCUAGUCGCCCUAAGAGUGAAUAAACAACCUCAAUGAUAAAACACUCACAAACCCCAUUGUUAGCCAUUAUCAACAACUAAAGAAAUUUAACCCUAACUUAUAUUCACUUUGAUGGUCUUUGUAGUUGAAUUCUCUUUCAAAAUUCUUCAAGCUAACAAGGGAAAUCACACACUCUCUCUCUACAUGUCCAGCUAGUGAGAGGAAGAUGAAAGUAAGACUUUUUUAAGGGUUUUAAGGUGAGAGAGUGAAAGAGCACAAAAGGUUCUAUGAACAAGUGCUCAAAAGCAUGAAAUUGAAGCUAGAGAGAGAAAGCUAUGGAAGCUUUAAGGGAGGCUCCCAUGGAGAUGAAGAAACGUGAGAGGG
rnacentral:lncRNA from 1 species